AACUGCGAGUGAAGCGGGAAAAGCUCAAAUUUAAAAUCUGGUGGCCUUUGGCCGUCCGAGUUGUAAUUUAGAGAAGCGUCUUCCGCGCUGGACCGUGCACAAGUCUCCUGGAAUGGAGCGUCAUAGAGGGUGAGAAUCCCGUCUUUGGCACGGACACCUGGUGCUUCUGUGAUGCGCUCUCGAAGAGUCGAGUUGUUUGGGAAUGCAGCUCAAAAUGGGUGGUGAACUCCAUCUAAAGCUAAAUAUUGGCGAGAGACCGAUAGCGAACAAGUACCGUGAGGGAAAGAUGAAAAGCACUUUGGAAAGAGAGUGAAACAGUACGUGAAAUUGUUGAAAGGGAAACGCUUGAAGUCAGUCGCGUCGACCGAGACUCAGCCUUGCCUUGGCUUGGUGUACUUCUCGGCCCGACGGGUCAGCAUCAAUUUUGUCCCUCGGAUAAUGGCAGGGGAAAGGUGGCACCUUUACGGGUGUGUUAUAGUCUCUUGUCGCAUGCGAGGGGUGGGAUUGAGGAACUCAGCGCGCGCCUUGGUGUCGGGGCUUUG
rnacentral:rRNA from 1 species